UAAGGAAUAUUGGACAAUGGACGCAAGUCUGAUCCAGCCAUGCCGCGUGAAGGAUGACUGCCCUCUGGGUUGUAAACUUCUUUUAUAGGGGAAGAAAGUUAUUUUUUAGGAUAUUUGACGGUACCCUAUGAAUAAGCACCGGCUAACUCCGUGCCAGCAGCCGCGGUAAUACGGAGGGUGCAAGCGUUAUCCGGAUUCACUGGGUUUAAAGGGUGCGUAGGCGGGUAUGUAAGUCAGUGGUGAAAUACCGGAGCUUAACUUCGGAACUGCCAUUGAUACUAUAUAUCUUGAAUAUUGUGGAGGUAAGCGGAAUAUGUCAUGUAGCGGUGAAAUGCUUAGAGAUGACAUAGAACACCGAUUGCGAAGGCAGCUUGCUACGCAAAUAUUGACGCUGAGGCACGAAAGCGUGGGGAUCAAACAGGAUUAGAUACCCUGGUAGUCCACGCCCUAAACGAUGAUUACUCGACAUUAGCGAUACACAGUUAGUGUCUGAGCGAAAGCAUUAAGUAAUCCACCUGGGAAGUACGACCGCAAGGUUGAAACUCAAAGGAAUUGACGGGGUCAUAGCUGUUUCCU
rnacentral:rRNA from 1 species